UCCAAAUUUCCUACAAUUAGAAACUCUACUCCAUCUCCUUCUACCCCUUGCAAUUUGCAAACCCUAACCCCAAAAUCAAUUUGUCCUUAUAGUUGUUGGCGAAUACCCAAUUCCGAUUUUUGUUCAAUCUCCGAUACCCACUUGUAAUCUUGACUAAAGAUUCGAUCUUUGGGGAUCAAUUUUUUCUCUGAGAAAAGAAGACGAAUAAAGGAAUUAGGGUUUAGGAGUUAGAGGAGGAGGAAGAUGGUGAUCACAAUUGAAGAUUUGAGGAAAAAUGAGACCUGGCUUUGUGGGUCUUUCUUGAAAAUGGUUGAUGAUGUGAAAGCCAUGGCCACCGACCCAUCUGAGCAACAAGUGCUUCUGACCCAGAUGGUUUUGAAGGAGUUGAUGAUGAAUAGGAACAAACCAGAAGCAGCAUUCUCACUUGGUUUUCCCAAAAAGAAGAGAUCUGAAUCUAGAGGGAUGGUUUUGAAGGAGUUGAUGAUGAAUAGGAACAAACCAGAAGCAUUCUCACUUGGUUUUCCCAAAAAGAAGAGAUCUGGAUCUAGGGGGAUGCAAAAGCAGAAUCAGAAUCAGAAGCAGAGGAUCAUCAUCAAAUUCAAACGCUGCGUCUCUGCCACUACAGGUAUUGCUUCUUAUUCUUGCUCUGUUUCCCCUGAUUCUGGUAUUGUUGUAAACCCAGACCCACUUCAUGAUGAUCAGAAACAGGAUUUGAAAUUGAAAUUGAAAUUGAAGAGCAAGAAGAGGUGCUACUCUGAAAUCGAACAAGCAGGCGAUGCAGGUUUCGAAGACAUAAACUCGAAGAGGCUGAGAAAGGGAAAGAAUGAUAAGAGGGUGUUACCAAGUGCGCAAUCGAUGACUGAGUAUUUUCCAAAGGAAGAGUUGCAGGAUCGUAUUCGUGGAUCAGAACACCCAAAGCCAAGUGCAAGAGCAAUAGCAAUAGCAGGGAAGAGGAAUGAGAUCAAGAUCAGUAUGACCAGCUUUGCUUUGUCCUUGUUAAUCUGCUUUCUUCUUGCAGUUUAUGUUCAACAGUAAUUCAGUGAACAACUUUCAUUUUUCCGGUAUGGUUUUUGUAAUUUUAAUACUUUCUCUAUUUCCCCAAAGCUCAGAUAUCGCAUAUCUUCAUUCUCUUUCUCUCAGAUCAUUCAGUAUGCUCUUUGAGUUUGGGGGAUGCAUCCAAUUUCUUCUUAUGUUUACCUGGUCAUGUUAACUGUAUAAAAGUUUGACAUUGGUUCCCUGGUGGUUUCUGAACUUAUGCUCGUGCUUUAGUGAGGCUUGGAUGAUCUGUUUGAAAAAGUGAAACUAUCCUCUUUGUAACUUUCAACUCGAGUAAUAUCUGAAUAAAGUACUUGUACUUCUCCAACAGUCCAUCUUCUUGAGUUUUUUAUUGCAUAUCUUGUUUUAUCCCGGCCAUAUAUAAAUGAGUAAACUUGACUAUUUUUCGCUGGGGGUUUAUACUUUGUACUAGUAAACAUUUGUAAAUCUAAUUUCUGGCGAUAUUGUUGUUAUAUUAAAUUGC